UAAUUGUGGUCAGUUCCAUGCCCACAGCAUACCAGUACUGGUAUUUAGGUAUACUUACCUUGUGUUUUCUUUUUAUGUGCUUAUAAAAAUCCAUGCCAAGGGCUUAUCUUGAAGGCAUAAAAUGGAAGCAUACAGCCAGCUACAGACUCUGAAACAUAUUACAUCCACUUCACACAUUGAAACCAGACUGGCUAUAAGCAAUCUUGUUGAAGAGUCUGAUUGGAUCAUGCAAUCUUUCAAGAUAUGAUCCAGGUCUUUAGCAAGAACUAAACUAUUUUUGCAAUCCAUUGAGUGGUGACAGAAGUUCACUUCACACCAUUGCAAAUUUCCCAAGAGAGCUAACAAAAGCUUGCGGCUUAGUCACAUGUGGGAGAGGGCAGUAUUCUGCCCACAGGGUAAGAGGAGUGGGCCACACUCACAGGCCAUGUGUGCGUGCGAGCCAGAUGGAUCUAGGCAGAAGGGCAAGGAGAGUCUUCUCACAGAGGGUAUACACACGAGCCUACAAACAGCUGGAGACGCUGCAUUUAGGCCGCCAGUCACAGUGGGUUCACUGCUGACACCCAUCCUGGCAACGAGCGGCACAAACGUCUCUAUCCAGAAUAUCCAGGCUCUUAGACUGUAGACAUCAUGGCGAGAGGGUCUAGACUCUCUAGAGAAUCGAAGCCUGGUCCUGGAGGCCCUCAAAGGCAGACCACGGUCGUCGUGUUGCUGUAUUUCCCUGCUGGAAUGGUGCACCUUUGAAGAGCAACUGUGUUUACAGGCGGUUCUACUGAUGAAGUUUCUCCCUAGUCCCAGCGGAGUCUGCAGCCAACAUCUCCCGUCAUAGAGAGCGACACUUCAUAGACCGUCAGGGCAUUGGAUGUGGUCGUCAUUUUAAAAAUGUACUUUAGGAACUAAAGAAGUGUACCAAAUGCUUUCCUGGGAUUUCAGGAGGUGGGAGUUUAGUCACAGGCUCACGUUGACCAUCACAUACAUGGGAUGUUAAGAGGACGGGAGACCUGAGAGAGGUUGGGGGAAGGAAGUGAUAAAAUUAUAUUUUGACCAAAAUAAGUCAAGUAAAUAAAGAAAAUGCAGAAGGGGCCUAUGUAAACUCUAGGCAAAUGAGCAUUAGCAUUCCCCAGCUCUUCUGUCUCUGUUUAUGGAGCACCUCCUCCUUGGGGUCUGACUCACUGGUGUUUCAAGGCUUCCCCAUAGCAACCUACUGUGUGGUAGCCUCUCUAG